AGAUUGAACGCUGGCGGCAUGCUUUACACAUGCAAGUCGAACGGCAGCACUGGGGCAACCCCUGGUGGCGAGUGGCGAACGGGGUGAGUAAUAUAUCGGAACGUACCCCGGAAAAUGGGGGGAUAACGUAGCGAAAGUUACGCUAAUACCGCAUAUGCCCUGAGGGGGAAAGCGGGGGAUUCGCAAGAACCUCGCGUUUUCGGAGCGGCCGAUAUCGGAUUUAGCUAGUAGGUGAGGUAAAGCUCACCUAGGCGACGAUCCGUAGCUGGUCUGAGAGGACGACCAGCCACACUGGAACUGAGACACGGUACCCAGACGUCCGUACGGGAGGCAAGCGAGUGGGGGAAAUUUUUGACCGUAAAUUGGGGGACC
rnacentral:rRNA from 1 species